GCCUAGCCUUAACACAACAAUAAAACUACCAAUUGUCCGCCAAAUAACUACGAGUAAUAACUUAAAAUUUAAAAGACUUGACGGUACCCCACAACAACCUAGAGGAGCCUGUCUAAUAAAUGAUACUCCACAAUUAACCCUACCUACCAUAGCCAAACAGUCUAUAUACCGCCGUCGCCAGCCCACCUCGUGAGAGAAUAAAAGUGAGCCAAACAGAUCCCACUAAUACGACAGGUCAAGGUGUAACUAAUGGGUGGGACCAAGAUGGGCUACAUUUUCUUACCAGAAUAUACGAAUUAACUAUGAAAAAGGAACUGAAGGCGGAUUUAGCAGUAUAUUAAGAACAAAAUACUUAAUUGAAACCAAUGCAAUGGGGUGCGCACACACCGCCCGUCAUCCCUGCAACCAAAAAAAUCUAUUCAUAAUAACAUACUAAUAUAAACCAGGGCAAGUCGUAACAUGGUAAGUGUACUGGAAAGUGCACUUAGAAA
rnacentral:rRNA from 1 species